rnacentral:rRNA from 1 species
UACGUAGGGGGCGAGCGUUGUCCGGAAUCAUUGGGCGUAAAGCGCGUGUAGGCGGCUUGAUCAGUCCGGUGUGAAAUCUUGGGGCUCAACCCCAAGCCUGCACUGGAUACUGUCAAGCUUGAGUCCGGGAGGGGAGAGCGGAAUUCCUAGUGUAGCGGUGAAAUGCGCAGAUAUUAGGAAGAACACCGGUGGCGAAGGCGGCUCUCUGGAACGGUACUGACGCUGAGACGCGAAAGCGUGGGGAGCGAACAGG